rnacentral:rRNA from 1 species
CGGUUAACGGAGCGAAAGCGACGUUCAACCUCAAAAGAAGCAGAGGGGGCUUAGUGGUGGGGUGACUGCGUACCUUUUGUAUAAUGGGUCAGCGACUUAUAUUCUGUAGCAAGGUUAACCGAAUAGGGGAGCCGGAGGGAAACCGAGUCUUAACCGGGCGUUAAGUUGCAGGGUAUAGACCCGAAACCCGGUGAUCUAGCCAUGGGCAGGUUGAAGGUUGGGUAACACUAACUGGAGGACCGAACCGACUAAUGUUGAAAAAUUAGCGGAUGACCUGUGGCUGGGGGUGAAAGGCCAAUCAAACCGGGAGAUAGCUGGUUCUCCCCGAAAGCUAUUUAGGUAGCGCCUCGUGAAUUCAUCUCCGGGGGUAGAGCACUGUUUCGGCUAGGGGGCCAUCCCGGCUUACCAACCCGAUGCAAACUGCGAAUACCGGAGAAUGUUAUCACGGGAGACACACGGCGGGUGCUAACGUCCGUCGUGAAGAGGGAAACAACCCAGACCGCCAGCUAAGGUCCCAAAGUCAUGGUUAAGUGGGAAACGAUGUGGGAAGGCCCAGACAGCCAGGAUGUUGGCUUAGAAGCAGCCAUCAUUUAAAGAAAGCGUAAUAGCUCACUGGUCGAGUCGGCCUGCGCGGAAGAUGUAACGGGGCUAAACCAUGCACCGAAGCUGCGGCAGCGACGCUGAUGCGUUGUUGGGUAGGGGAGCGUUCUGUAAGCCUGCGAAGGUGGCCUGUGAGGGUUGCUGGAGGUAUCAGAAGUGCGAAUGCUGACAUAAGUAACGAUAAAGCGGGUGAAAAGCCCGCUCGCCGGAAGACCAAGGGUUCCUGUCCAACGUUAAUCGGGGCAGGGUGAGUCGACCCCUAAGGCGAGGCCGAAAGGCGUAGUCGAUGGGAAACGGGUUAAUAUUCCCGUACUUGGUGUUACUGCGAAGGGGGGACGGAGAAGGCUAUGUUGGCCGGGCGACGGUUGUCCCGGUUUAAGCGUGUAGGUGUGUGUUCCAGGUAAAUCCGGUUCACUUUAACACUGAGGCGUGAUGACGAGGCACUACGGUGCUGAAGCAACAAAUGCCCUGCUUCCAGGAAAAGCCUCUAAGCAUCAGGUAACAUCAAAUCGUACCCCAAACCGACACAGGUGGUCAGGUAGAGAAUACCAAGGCGCUUGAGAGAACUCGGGUGAAGGAACUAGGCAAAAUGGUGCCGUAACU